GACGAACGCUGGCGGCGUGCUUAACACAUGCAAGUCGAACGGUGAAGCCCUUCGGGGUGGAUCAGUGGCGAACGGGUGAGUAACACGUGAGCAACCUGCCCCUGGCUCUGGGACAACCACUGGAAACGGUGGCUAAUACCGGAUACGACCCGCCUCGGCAUCGAGUGUGGGUGGAAAGUUUUUCGGCUGGGCAUGGGCUCGCGGCCUAUCAGCUUGUUGGUGAGGUGAAGGCUCACCAAGGCGACGACGGGUAGCCGGCCUGAGAGGGCGACCGGCCACACUGGGACUGAGACACGGCCCAGACUCCUACGGGAGGCAGCAGUGGGGAAUAUUGCACAAUGGGCGAAAGCCUGAUGCAGCGACGCCGCGUGAGGGAUGACGGCCUUCGGGUUGUAAACCUCUUUCAGCUCCGAAGAAGCGAAAGUGACGGUAGGAGCAGAAGAAGCACCGGCUAACUACGUG
rnacentral:rRNA from 1 species